GACGAGUGGCGGACGGGUGAGUAAUGCUUGGGAACUUGCCUUUAGGUGGGGGAUAACAGUUGGAAACGACUGCUAAUACCGCAUAAUGUCUACGGACCAAAGGGGGCUUCGGCUCCCGCCUUGAGAGAGGCCCAAGUGAGAUUAGCUAGUUGGUGGGGUAAAGGCCUACCAAGGCAACGAUCUCUAGCUGUUCUGAGAGGAAGAUCAGCCACACUGGGACUGAGACACGGCCCAGACUCCUACGGGAGGCAGCAGUGGGGAAUAUUGCACAAUGGGGGAAACCCUGAUGCAGCCAUGCCGCGUGUGUGAAGAAGGCCUUCGGGUUGUAAAGCACUUUCAGUUGUGAGGAAAGGUUGGUAGUUAAUACCUGCCAGCUGUGACGUUAACAACAGAAGAAGCACCGGCUAACUCCGUGCCAGCAGCCGCGGUAAUACGGAGGGUGCGAGCGUUAAUCGGAAUUACUGGGCGUAAAGCGCACGCAGGCGGCUUGUUAAGCUAGAGGUGAAAGCCCCGCGCUCAACGUGGGAACUGCCUUUAGAACUGGCAGGCUAGAGUCUUGGAGAGGGGAGUGGAAUUCCAGGUGUAGCGGUGAAAUGCGUAGAUAUCUGGAGGAACAUCAGUGGCGAAGGCGGCUCCCUGGCCAAAGACUGACGCUCAUGUGCGAAAGUGUGGGUAGCGAACAGGAUUAGAUACCCUGGUAGUCCACACCGUAAACGCUGUCUACUAGCUGUUUGUGUAUUUAAUACGUGAGUAGCGAAGCUAACGCGCUAAGUAGACCGCCUGGGGAGUACGGCCGCAAGGUUAAAACUCAAAUGAAUUGACGGGGGCCCGCACAAGCGGUGGAGCAUGUGGUUUAAUUCGAUGCAACGCGAAGAACCUUACCUACUCUUGACAUCCAGGAAAUUUUUCAGAGAUGAAUUAGUGCCUUCGGGAAUCCUGAGACAGGUGCUGCAUGGCUGUCGUCAGCUC
rnacentral:rRNA from 1 species